UUUAUUAGCUGCCACUGUAGAAGGCUGUAGUAGCGCAUUUCAAGCCUUUGCCUCUUGCAUUCUGCUCAGAAGUCACCAUAUAUGGCGAGUCUACAUAUAGGCCUGCUAAGACAUCUUCUCUUCCAAAAUAAUGAAAAUCUACUAGGCAGAGUCAGACAGAUCGUGGAAGCUGGGAAGGGCUUUAAAAUACUUCAUGUCUGUUCCACGUAAAACCUGAUAAAAAAAUCUGGCCGUGUUUGUGAAACUGAAGGGAAGGGUGGUUUUUUUUUGGCAUUACCAUAAACGUUUUUGCACAUUGGGACUAAAGCUGUAGGCGUACAAUGGCAGGCGAUAUGCAUGAUGUGACAGUACAACGUGGAUGUCGCAUGUAACAAGAAAACUGUAGGGCACAGGACGACACAAGUUGCACGUGGAUAUUUGUUUUUGUCACCUCGGCUCUUUUUGGAUCUACGUUACGGGAAAAUACGCUGUUCGUAAUAAUGGAAAUUGCAUGCCUACAAACUCUGGUCCAAAGAUUUUAAAACUAAAACUAACAACCUGCAAAAUGCCCUAAAUUGAUCGAUGAUGAGGAUGAAGAACGACAUGCAUAAAAACCUCUGUGCGUUGAAAGUUACAGCAAAAGUAGGGAAUAUGUGGUUAGGCGUGAUGUGUGUCAACUACAUUAUUCCCAGAAAACAUGUAAAUUGACAAAAAAACAGUGGACCCCUGCAUAAUGAAUUUAAUUCAUUCCAUGAAAACCUUUGUUAUGUGAAUCCAGGAAAUACAUAUUAAGGGCCUACUUCGUUGCAAGGCCAUCAUAAGUUGGCCUCUUCGACUUUAAAACAUAGUUUAUAAUAUUUAAACACUAAUUUUUGACAAACUUUAUAAGAGCAUGGUAAACGAUUAAAAUUAAUGGAAUCAUGUGAAAAGAAUCGAUAAAUAAAGCAUAAAAAUGUUACAGUAAAACAAUUCUUACUUCAGGGGUUGAUGGAGAAGUUAGGGUAGGAGAAAAUUAAUUUUUGGAAGGAGAAUUAUCCGUGUGAUGUUGUAAUCAGUUUGUUAUGCAGGAAGAAUUCGUUGUGUCAGUCAGUUGAGACUUGUGGGAGGCAACUCAUUAAGAAAAAUAAUUUUUAUCCAAUGAUUUUUGUUAUGUGGGGUUCCACUGUAUUAUUAUUCUGCUUCAUCAGCCUUCAUUAUUCAUAGCUCACGGGCAAACCAACAGCUUUUAGGAGGUGUAACAUUUGCAACAGAAGAUAUUAACAGCAUGUCUUGUUCAACCAUCUUCAGAGCAUUUCACGUGUACUGGCUCGGAUUAAAUAUGUCGAAUCACUGACCUACUUUCAUGUUGAGGUUCCUACCACUGUAAUACUCGUUGGCUAAACAGUUGUGUAUGAGAGUGAUUGAUUGAUUGAUUGAUUGAUUGUGUAUGAAAUUGAAAGCCAACUCCAAACUGAAACAAGAGGGCAGUGAGAUUGCUAAGGCCUGCCAGACGGGAAACUACGAAACUCUGAAUAGUAGGGUAUUGUAUCUCGCUGUGUUAUCAGUUUUAAGUGUUUAUAGCUGAAUUCUUAGUACAUGUUUUAUAUAACCUUUAUAUCUCAAAUUUAAAUAUGGUAAACAAAAGAGUAAUGAAUUUGUACAGACAAUCAUUAUGUUAUUAAAUCUUCAAAAUGCUCUUUGUUGCAAUGCCAUGUCUUAAUAAAUUAUAAAAGUGUGGCCAUUUUAACAAAAGGAGGUGCAGUGAACACUAACGGAGAAUUUGAAAUUAUCUAGGUCACUGCAGGACGACAUUCGAAGUUCCCAAAACAGAUGUCAUUAUUAUGUCUGUUGCCCUUAUAAGGGCCAGUACAUUUCCUGUGAUGUGUAUUUGUAGUUAGGCAAAUGGAAAUGGGUUUUUCCAUUAUGUCAUGACAUUUUUAAAAUAUGUAUACAGUGCAAAGAUAUUAAUUAAUAACUGAAUCACCAACUUUAAUUAUUUACUUUGUUUAAUAGCAUUCCCCUGAAAGUUUAAAAACUGCUUCGAAAUAUUUUUAGUUCUCUCGAAGUAACCAUUUGUUUUUGGUUAUGUGUUUUUAACGUUCUAGCUUGUGCAGAGAUCACGUUUUGGCUUGUCCGUGUCUGUCACAUUUUCUGUAAGGGUUCUUAUUGUUAUACAUCACUGGGACUUCAGAUCACCUAAGAUGUAACGGUGGCCUGUGGGGGGUCACACUGACCUCAGGUCACAUUGGUGUAAUAACAGCUUGCGUUAUGUGACACGAAGAACAGCUUUGGAAUAUCAGUGUGCUCCAUAGAUAACGUAUUUUCAAUCUUGGCCCACAUAAUAUUAAAAUCACAUAGAAGCUUUUGCUUAUCUGUCACCCUUUUCAUAAAAUGCACACCCCCUUUCAUUCUUAUUUCUUUGGGAUAUUUAUAUUAAAACAAAGAGUAAAUAAUGAAAAUGUUAUUAUUCUGCUUAUGUCAUUUUAUCAUAACUGUUCAUAUGAUAUUCAAAAGCAUGAUUUUGAGGUCGUGCAGAACGGCACGACCUUCACAUCAAAUUUCAUCCCAGUCAGUCCAGUAGUUCUGAAGUAGUACCAGCUGGACAGACAGACACGACCAGCCCAUAAUGUGUUCUCCCUAUACACUUUGUGGAAAGAAUGCAUAAUACGAAUGGCCACAUUAAUCAGAUAUACUCUUUUUAUUUAUUUAUUUAUAAUAAGAGUUUGAAAAGUAACCAUGUCAGUUACUGAGAAUUAGCCCUCUUUAUCGUCUUCACACAAAACGUUCUCCAACUUUCUUUUCUUAAAAUUUACUCCGUAUAAACGCUAAGUUAUUGGUGAUUACGGACAGUGGUAAGCAUGGAAAUGAAUUUCGACUUAUCAGCUAGUGCUUGUGUGUUGUGCUCCAGGUUCUGUUGUUUUGUUCCUUAUCAAGUUCCAUACCAAAGAUUUGUGUGAGUGUAUGUAUAUGUUUGUGCAUCUGUAACCAAAGUUCUGUUCUACAGACUCAGUUACCUGCUGCUGUUCAGAAAUCAUAGAUGAUAUUAGACCCUGCCACCAAAGGUUCGGAAGGUUCUCGUGGUGAUGGGGAUGGAGAAGACCGUCUUCCGGGAUGUACUAAGACGUUGGCCAACGGUUCAGAGGAGCUUCCUGCCUGUUUAACCGUGACUUCUUCCACAAUCAGGUGAUGACACCCUGAUUAUGGAGGCAGUAAGGUCCCCUGAAAUGUCGGCCAGUACUUACCAAUUUGCACGGCGCAACGUCCUGGAAGAUGGCCGUCUUCACAAAUAUAAUAUCUGUUCCUCGGUACAAAUUUGGCCUUAUGAACCCAUGGUCAGGGGGAUGUUCAAUGUGAAUACAUAAUAUACCAUUGUAACUUUCAAGUAACAACUGUAUUUUUAGUAAAUAAUACCGUAUUUUCAACAUUACAAUUAAUUAAAUUUAUCAAAAUUGUCCAAAAGAAAUGUUUUUUUUUUCUCCCUGCAAUAAAUUUGGGGUAUAGAGGCACAAAUUUGUCUAACUGGUUGUAGGACGGACAUUUAAAGUUCCAGUAACAGAUGUGAAUAUUAUCAUGUCGUGUUGUAGCUCGCUAGUUGUUUCAGUUGAUGUCAUUAGGGAUGUUCUGGUACCCCACGAAGCGACGUCUCUGUAUCCAUGCCACGAUCAGGCCCACACAGUAGCUGGUGAAGCAUAGCAAGAUGAUGAAGGCCAGGUGUGGCAUGUAGUGCUGCAGUCCUGUAAAAGAAAAAAACACUUCUUCCUGAGCAGAAUGCUAGGACAUCUCUGCUGGUCAUCAUCACUUUUUUCUUUGGCACUGCAUAAUCUCUGAAACCACAGUUGUGUGUGUUUUAAAGGUUUCCGUGGAAGCUGCAACAUCCAAUCUCCAUGUUAAAAAAAAUUCUUGGGCCUUUUAUUUUGGAGAAUGCUGGUUGCUAAUGAGAUCUCCCUCUACAACAUUUUCUCAGAGAAAUAUUUGGAUAUACCUAAAAUAUUUAUUGUUGUUUGAUUUGGGCAUGAGGUACCGCUCUCUUCCCGUAAGGGAACAACAGAAUUGUUGGUAUUUUAAAAAGAGUGUCAGAAAGAGAAAAACAUUCACAUCUAAGAAACAAGCUAAAUAAAUGAAAAACGAAGAAAAUCAU